rnacentral:rRNA from 1 species
GAUGAACGCUAGCGGGAGGCCUAACACAUGCAAGCCGAGCGGUAGAGUCUCUUCGGAGACUUGAGAGCGGCGCACGGGUGCGGAACACGUGUGCAACCUGCCUUUAUCUGGGGGAUAGCCUUUCGAAGGGAAGAUUAAUACCCCAUAAUAUACUGGAUGGCAUCAUCUGGUAUUUAAAACUCCGGUGGAUAGAGAUGGGCACGCGCAAGAUUAGAUAGUUGGUGAGGUAACGGCUCACCAAGUCAGCGAUCUUUAGGGGGCCUGAGAGGGUGAUCCCCCACACUGGUACUGAGACACGGACCAGACUCCUACGGGAGGCAGCAGUGAGGAAUAUUGGACAAUGGGUGAGAGCCUGAUCCAGCCAUCCCGCGUGAAGGACGACGGCCCUAUGGGUUGUAAACUUCUUUUGUAUAGGGAUAAACCUAGAUACGUGUAUCUAGCUGAAGGUACUAUACGAAUAAGCACCGGCUAACUCCGUG